CGUCACCGUACGACCUCCGUACACCUGCAGAAAAUCAACACGCAAAGAGCACAACAAACGAGCAAAAGACAAGCAGAAAAUAACACAACAAAAGAAAAAUUGUAAUAGGAAGAAAAACAGAAAGAGGGGCGAUCUUUGUAUUUUUCUUUUGGCUAUAUAAACCUAUAACAAAAUCUGUAAAAGGGGAUAAAAAAAGAGAAAUAAAAAAGGAUUGACUUCAAGGUGAUUUUUUUUCUUCGUGUUUUUCGGUUCUUUCAUUUUUUUGUGUACAUUUAGAUAUAAAGAAAAAAAGAGUUCAAGGUAUAAUCGUACCUUCGCGCGCCAUUGGAGCCAUCCUCUACUCUGUCCGAAUCGGAAUGAGAGAGAGGAGUGUUCUGGCUUUCAAGGUGGCGAUGAGGGAAAGGGCUCACCUGUGUGUCGAAACCAUCGAGUCAUCGAACCCUAGUCCGCUUCUUGGUGGUCGGAGAUCGGAAGGGACGAAGGAUUGCAGCGCGUUUCUGAGUAAAUGAGG
rnacentral:lncRNA from 1 species